GAUGAACGCUAGCUACAGGCUCGACACAUGCAAGUCGAGGGGUAACGAGAGGAAAGCUUGCUUUCCUUGUCGACGACCGGCGCACGGGUGAGUAACGCGUAUCCAACCUGCCCCCAACUAGGGAAUAACCUUGCGAAAGUAAGACUAAUACCCUAUAAUUUCCUCAGAUGUCAUCUGACGAGGAAUAAAGAUUUAUCGGUUUUGGAUGGGGAUGCGUCGGAUUAGCUUGUUGGCGGGGUACCGGCCCACCAAGGCAACGAUCAGUAGGGGUUCUGAGAGGAAGGUCCCCCACAUUGGAACUGAGACACGGUCCAAACUCCUACGGGAGGCAGCAGUGAGGAAUAUUGGUCAAUGGGCGGAAGCCCGAACCAGCCGAGUAGCGUGCAGGAUGACGGCCCUAUGGGCUGUAAACUGCUUUUAUACAGGAAUAAAGUUAGCCACGUGUGGUUAUUUGUAGGUACUGUAUGAAUAAGGACCGGCUAAUUCCGUGCCAGCCGCCGCCGUAA
rnacentral:rRNA from 1 species